GGGGAUUUAGCUCAGUGGUAGAGCACUUGCUAGCAAGUGCAAGGCCCUGGGUUCAGUCCCCA
rnacentral:tRNA from 1 species